GAGAGAAAAAAUACAGACAGACAGACGAACACAGACAGACAGUCGGACAGUGAAGCAGAAGUAAAAGAUGUUCACACCGAUGGUACAGCUGAGACGGGUUGCCAGCUGACCCUUCGUCCCUCGCGGUGCCUCUUCAGUAUAUUAACGGACAUGAUCCUUCAAUCCAUUCUUCUGAAGCAGUAUAUUUCCAAAAACGAAUAAUACAGCGUAAGUUUCGGGAAUUUCUCUGAGAGGAAGACAGGAAACAAAUGACUAAUCUCUCCCCAAAUCAAACGAACAUCCUGCCGUCCCUGGAGGCCUCACAGCAGCUGGCACUGCCACAGUGCCAUUCACCAGCAUACUCUCACCCACUUCAGUCACAUCCCGCCGCCACAGUCCUUCACUUCCUCAGCAAGACACAGCCCUUCAGCCACCAUGCGCUGGCCAUUCCUAAUGUUUACCCUCGCCAUCGCGCUGCUGGCCUUUACAAUGGACAGAACAGCAGCUCGCACGUUUACUUCGCGUCGGGUGUCCUUGCCUGACAACGUUCCCUGCUUGGGGAGCUGCAAGAGAAGAGACAGCAGAGGAAGAUGCCGCACGGAUUCCCUCUGCAAGCGUAGGCUCCGUCUGGUCUAAGCCAUGUGGCGGCUCCCAACGCCAUAUUAUUUGCGUUAGCUUGCUCCCAAAGCUUUGAGAGUAGACUUUUUUUUUUUUUGGGGGGGGGG